GAGGAAGGGUGCCAAUAAGUGUUAC
rnacentral:misc_RNA from 1 species